UACGGAGGGGGCGAGCGUUGUUCGGAAUCACUGGGCGUAAAGGGCGUGUAGGCGGUCCGCUAAGUCUGAUGUGAAAGCCCGGGGCUCACCCCCGGAAGGGCAUUGGAAACUGGCGGACUCGAGUCCCGGAGAGGAAGGUGGAAUUCCUGGUGUAGCGGUGAAAUGCGUAGAUAUCAGGAGGAAUACCGGUGGCGAAGGCGGCCUUCUGGACGGUGACUGACGCUGAGACGCGAAAGCGUGGGGAGCAAACAGG
rnacentral:rRNA from 1 species